GCGCUGGCGCCCCCGAGUGGGUGUAGUCACGCUGCCCAGCAGUGGGCGGUGAUUGGCCCUGGGCCGUGCAAUCGCAGUUUGUGCGUCACGACGCCGCCAGCUGAUCGGAGACUGGAGCCGGUGUGUGCUGGGCGCUGGGAAGAGACAGCGCCGCCGGCCGUGGGGAUCGGACGCACUGAUUUGCUCCCCUACCCUCAGCAACCCCCCCACCCAGCACCAGGAACCUGUGCCUCCCACAUCCUCACCUGGCUGAGCCGCAGUAGUUCUUCAGUGGCAAGCUUUAUGUCCUGACCCAGCUAAAGCUGCCAGUUGAAGAACUGUUGCCCUCUGCCCCUGGCUUCGAGGAGGAGGAGGAAGAAGAGGAGAAGGAGCUGCUUUCCCCCUCUGGAAGUGUCUUCAUCCAGCCUUGGGUACAUGGCUCUGCCAUCCUCACCCUUCAUGGAGCAGAAAUGAGGAAGAACAGCCUGAAAACACAGAGGCAGACAGAAGACCAGUGAAGGACCAGGCCUGGAGAGCACAGGGCCCUGUCUGGACAUCCUGCAGAGGGGGGCCCGUAGAGGCCAGGAGUGCCCCCAGGAGGAGGGAGGACAAGCCACUGUCCAUCGAAGACAAGCUUCCAGCCGACUACUUCAUUCUCCAUUCCUCACCAGUCUUUCUGCCUCCCUCAGAGACGUGGGACCAUGUUGAAGUGUCCUUGACUUCAUCCUCCUGCUCCCACCUCUCCUCACCAUGUAAUUUGUCUAUAAGCACCGUAGAGGAGCAAGAGCCAGCUGUGAAAGGACAUAUGCAGAAAAUUCAUAAAAGAAAUUCCGAUAGAUAAAACCAUGGAAAAAGGUGUGCUUCGUUAGUAAUUAAAGAAAAGCAGCUAUAGCUGGAAGCAUUUUUUCCUGUAGCCAACUAUAAGAGGAAAAACAAGACCCAGUUAUUGACAAAGAAGUACUAAAAUGACACUCUCAUAUGUUGCACACGGGUAUACAAGUGGGUAGUCUUACUGAUGUCAGUUGGGUAAUGUGUGCCAAACAUCCUAAAAGUUUCAUGGCCUUUGAUCUAGUAAUUCUAUAUUUGGGAAUGUAUCCUAAGAAUAUAAUUAAAGAUUAGUAAUAAGAUGUUCAUCCCAGCAAUGCAGUAGGAAAAAUUGAGAACCAACUAUCCGGUUGGGAAUUCAUUUCUUUUUCUACUGUGAUGAAAAUUUGCAAGAGGGGGUUGCUUGAGUAAAUUGUUAUGGAUCCACCCAGAUGGUGGAGCACUGCGCAGCCAUUAAAAGUCAUGUAGGAGAGGAUUUGACUGGAAAGAAAAAUGCUCUCUGAAUAUUAAAAAGGUUAUAAAAUGAUAUGUAUUAUGUGAUCUCAAUUUUGCUUUUUUAAAUAUGGGUGUAUACUUAUAAGACAGUUUUAAAAAGACUGCAGACAUACUCCAAAUUGUUAAUAAUAGUGGUUAUCUUUGGAUGAUGGAAUAAAGUUGUA
ensembl:lncRNA